rnacentral:rRNA from 1 species
GGAAGUAAAAGUCGUAACAAGGUUUCCGUAGGUGAACCUGCGGAAGGAUCAUUAACAGUAACAUGGUUAUGCUUCUAGCAUAGACUGAAUGAAACCCACUCUGAGUACCCUUGCCUGUUGCUUCCGUAGGGCAUGACAUCUGUCGCUCUUGAGCUUAAAAACCUCAAGGGAGUCCUUACGGGAGGUAUACUAUUGAAACUCUUGCACUUCAAUGUCUUCUGUCUGAACUUGUUUACAGCAAACAUUAAAACUUUCAACAACGGAUCUCUUGGUUCUCGCAUCGAUGAAGAACGCAGCGAAAUGCGAUAAGUAGUGUGAAUUGCAGAAUUCAGUGAAUCAUCGAAUCUUUGAACGCACAUUGCGCCUCCUGGUAUUCCGGGAGGCAUGCCUGUUCGAGCGUCAUUAAAACCCACUCAAGCUCUUUUGCUUGGUCUUGGAGGUGGAGCACCGCAACGUCCUCCCCUCGGAAAUGCAAUGGCGGAGUCACUCGCGUUCCCCAGCGUAGUAAGUUUAUCUUUUCGCUUGGUGCCGGGUGCGUUCCAGCCCGCAACCCCCAAUCAUUUAGUGUUGACCUCGGAUCAGGUAGGGAUACCCGCUGAACUUAAGCAUAUCAAUAAGCGGAGGAAAAGAAACCAACAGGGAUUGCCUCAGUAACUGCGAGUGAAGCGGCAAAAGCUCAAAUUUGAAAUCUGGCGUCUUUGGCGUCCGAGUUGUAAUUUGGAGAGGCAUCUUCGGAGAUGGCGCUGUCCUAAGUUCCUUGGAACAGGACAUCACAGAGGGUGAGAAUCCCGUGCCUGGAUGGCUGUCCAUCUCCAUGUGAAGAGUCUUCGACGAGUCGAGUUGUUUGGGAAUGCAGCUCAAAAUGGGUGGUAAAUUUCAUCUAAAGCUAAAUAUUGGCGAGAGACCGAUAGCGCACAAGUAGAGUGAUCGAAAGAUGAAAAGCACUUUGAAAAGAGAGUUAAAAAGUACGUGAAAUUGUUGAAAGGGAAGCGCUUGAGACCAGACUCAAUCUUUGGUGAUCAGCUGUGCUUCUGCGCAGUGCACUUGCUAUUGAUUGGGCCAGCAUCGGUUCCGACGGUGGGAUAAAAGGCGGAGGAAUGUAGCUUCCUUCGGGGAGUGUUAUAGCCUCCGUCACAAUGCCAUCAGUUGGGACCGAGGACCGCGCUUCGGCUAGGAUGCUGGC